rnacentral:rRNA from 1 species
AUACGGAGGGUGCGAGCGUUAAUCGGAAUUACUGGGCGUAAAGCGUACGUAGGCGGUUGGUUAAGUUAGAUGUGAAAGCCCCGGGCUUAACCUGGGAACUGCAUUUAAAACUGGCGAACUAGAGUUGAGUAGAGGGGAGUGGAAUUUCAGGUGUAGCGGUGAAAUGCGUAGAGAUCUGAAGGAACACCAGUGGCGAAGGCGGCUCCCUGGACUCAAACUGACGCUGAGGUACGAAAGCGUGGGUAGCAAACGGGAUUAGAGACCCGCGUAGUCC